AUUAAGGAGAUGCAGAGCACCUGAGGAACAGGUGGAGAAGCAGGGCUUAAAUAGCCUGCUUCUCCACUCAUUCUGGGCUCUCCCAACCCUGGAGCUCCUGUACGGAGUCCGGUCCUCGUGGGUGAAGGAUUCCAACCACGGGGGGGGUAUAGGACCGUCGAUUCCUCCCAGGUCUAUCAUGGAUAUUUAACUGCAGUUCUGUGAGUAUCCCAACAUAACCAUGAAGAUGAACUGCAAACUGUAAGUCAUUCAUUUCUCAUUACUCUUGGGCACAUUGAUGUAUUUUGGCUUCCUAGUGAGUUAACCCGGUACCUGAAGGUUGAUCCGAGUAGCAAGGAUGUUUUAUUGGUUCAUGGGUUACUUAGGUGUUUGGUUUAUGUUGGUUUUAAUGGUUUGUUAAAAUGGUUACAGGCUCCAAGUUAUUGUUGUAAUGGGUUGGGUUCUGAUAUCUUCAGUCUUCUUUCCAGUUACUCUCCUGAGCUCUGCAUCUUCAUCCCAUGAGUGUUGCUUCACUGAUGAGGUCGUGGUCUGAGUGAGCAGAGGUGCAUACUGGGAUACAGAGCUGUCUGAAGUCUACAUGUCUGUAGACACGCCCCCUCAGGGGAAACCGAGUGUUUGAGAAACCGUUGUGAAGUCAGUUACAUGGACUGCAAUGUUCUUUAAAAUGGAGACAGGGAUUCAGAAGGAGAAACACCAGGGGGAGAUGGGGGGCUCCUCAUCUCAACGACUAAAACACAACUUCAGUCUCACACAGAGAACCAUGGAACACAUUCAACAGUCCCCUCCAGGCAUCGUGACUCCUCAGGAGCAGUUUCAUUACCAAGAAGGUCUUAUUUGGGGCCAUCCCCAGAUGGAUCCUGCUCCUCAAGAGCCAGCCCCCUCCACUGGGUGGUCUACUGAACAGAUGACCUCCUUCCUGCCCUCAGGCUGACUAAAGCUAAACCGUUUGCAGCUGUGAAGGCCCCUCAUUCAGGAAACCACUGGACUACAAAGACAUGACUUCAGAGACGUUGAAUCAACCUGUGACACAUUUUGGAGACGCCAAGUGUAAUCCAUCACCAAUGUGGGACGCCACUGAAGAAUGGUGUACAUAAUUUAUUUCUCUGGAGACAUUGGUUGUUCUGUUCUGGGUGCCCUGCAAGGAGAGCUGGGGUUGGAUGAUGGAACGUUAUUUGGCAUGAGGUUUUUACCCUGCAAGAUUUGUUUGGCCUUUUAUGGCUCAGUGGUGUGUGUGUUUGGGUUUGACAUGAGAUGGAAGAUUUUUGAGUAUCGCUAGGGUUCUACUGUGUCUGUUUCCCACUCCCACCUGGCAUGGGGUUCUACGUGCGUGUCCUGGGUUCUAUGCGUGUGUCCAGCUUGCUUUGAUCGUGAUAAUGUUCACACGAUGAUCUGUGUGAUUGGCUUGGGAUAUUGGACUGGUCAACUAAAUCAUACCUGAUGGACAGCCACAUGUUUACUUGAGGCCUCCAGUAGACGUGAAGAGCCCUGAGUGACGCUCCGUAGCGAUAUCCAACACACUGGGCAGGAAGGAGAGUAUCCAACUCGAGUGUAAAAGGAUGCAAGCGACGUGUUCAGAUCAGUGACUUCAAACUAGGACUUCACCAAUCAGGAUCAAUGGAGGAUGGACACCUAAAGGAAUUCCAAAAGGAGACUGACGUUGGAAAGGGACCUAAAUGGAUAUUCAAGAUGACCUUCAGACCUGUAAUGACACGGCUCUUCCUACCUGGCUGGAUUGAUGGAGAGCCCUGUGGAUCUUGUCUUGCUCUCAGUUGCACGUCUUCUCAGGCUGAACUGUACUUGUUUCGGACAGGACUAGCUGAACGAUUGGUUCCCUUAAAUCAGAACCAAUCUGGGAACUCCAACUAGUGCACUCUUCGAGCUGAAGUUGUGCUCUUCAGCUGAGGAGGUAAGGAAACCUUCACUGGGGCUUCAAGGUGUAAAAGGAGAAUGUUUCAAUGUGUUCCAUGGUACUCUGAUGAGGACUGUUGUUGUGUUCCACUGGCUGAGAGGAAGAACCCUCACAUCUUCCACUUGGCCUUUCUCCUCUGAGAAUCCUGGCGCCAUCUUGAAGGAUAUUCCAGCUCAUGUAACUGAUGUCACGACAGAUUCUCAGACACUUGGUUUCUCCUGAGGGGCGUGUCUAUAGAACUGAAGACUUCAGAAAGCACUUUAUCCCAGCAUGCAUCUCUGCUCACUCAGACCACACCCCCAUGAGUAGGAUGCAACACUCUUGGGAUGGAGAUGUAGUGUUUUAUAAGUAACAAGGGAGCAGACUAAGGGGAUUAGAACGUAAUGGAAUGUCAAGUCUAAAUCUUUAAACCAUGAAGAUGGUUGGAAAAGUCAGGAAUUUGGCUCAUUUUUAAUAUGGGCAGUCCUUUCACUCGGAUGCUCACUUGAAAUGUACAUGCGUUGGCUGGCUGGCAUGAUUUGCUGUUGGUGAUGAGGCGGUCAGGGUGACGUUGCAGGGCUAUGGUCGGCUCUCUGUGAGCUCAACGUUUAGAUUUUCUCUGGUUUGUACCCUGAAUAAUCUAGAUAAUUGUAAAAUGUAGACACGGUUUUGCAUUGAAUGAUUCCAGGAUUUUAGGUGUAAAGUUGUUGUACAUGGUAGUUUGGUUCUUCGUAUGGUUUUGAGUGAUUAUAACUUGUACACACUGGGUGCAUAAUAAUGUAAUGUUACACUGAAUAGUAUUAAUGACCAACAGCAACAAACAGAUCUCCUCAAGGUAAGUCUGUUGGCUGUAUUUUAAUGAAGACCAUCGCUGGACUUCAGGAUCUUCCUCCGUUCAGCUCAAGGUGAGGCGCUGGUUACGUUUUUUUCUUUGGUUGGUUCCGGCUGGAAUGUUCGGAUUCCAGUCGGACGGUUUGUGCUUCCCGCCGUGGAAGGUUCUGAGUGCGGUCCCUUGAUUUAGUCCCAAUGGUUAGCAUAGAAAGUUGUAGUCUUGACAACCAUAAGAACACUAACACGAAUUUCGUACAAUAUGUUAAUUUUCGAUGGUUGCGCCGUACUUUUAACCACGUUGACGGGACUCUCGCUGCGUACAAAACGGCGUUCUACUUGCGGCCCAAUUUUUGGUGAAGGCUGAAAAUCAUUUCAAGGUGGAAGACAAUUUGACAUUUCUUCAAAGGAACCCAGCACCUGAAUAUGAGUUGAGUAAAUUUGAUUUAAUAUUGAUACUGCUUAGUGUUCAUUGUUACUUCACUGUUACUUGCUGAUAUAAACCUCCUGUUGUAGCUCAAAGGUGAGGCUGAGAGGCUUGGGACCGGAGGCUUGUGGUGCCAGGAUGGACCGGAGACUGAGGCUGGAGAUCAGGGGCCUGCAGCACCGGACCAGAGGACCAGGAAUCCAUGGCUGAAGGAGCUGAUGGAGGCCCUGCCUGGUGGAGGAGCCAUGCUGAAAGCCCUGCCUGGUGGAGGAGCUGACGGAGGCCCUGCCUGGUGGAGGAUGUCUGUAAUGGGGACUCUGGUUUGGCGGAGAGCUGAUGGAGGAGCUGAUGGAGGAGCUGAGUCGCUGGAGGACGACUAGGAAUCGACCAACAAGGAUUCCUCAACGUGUUUCUGGAGCGGAGGCGAGCUGAUGGGGGAGCCGUGAAUCUGGAGGAUGACGUCACUCUACCAACAAGGAUUAUAAGAUUGUAUUAACCUGUAUCAACAAAGUGGAAAUAAAGGGCUUAAAAUUAAGACAAACUACAAGUUUGUUACCAGACGUUGGGACCAGACUUGCGCUUUUUGUUUCAGACCAGGACUCUGGCUGAGGAGGGCUGAUGGAGGAGCGGCGCUGAAGGCCCUGCCUGGUGGAGGAGCUGAUGGAGGCCCUGCCUGGUGGAGGAGCCAUGCUGAAGGCCCUGCCUGGUGGAGGAUGUCUGUCGUGGGACCAGGAGUCUGUCUGAGGAGAGCUGCUGGAGGAGCUGUGACGCUGGAGGACGACUAGGAAUCGACCAACAAGGAUUCCUCAACGUGUUUCUGGAGCGGAGGCGAGCUGAUGGGGGAGCCGUGAAUCUGGAGGAUGACGUCACUCUACCAACAAGGAUUACCAGGACUCUGGCUGAGGAGAGCUGAUGGAGGAGCCAUAAAACCAGGAAUCUGGAGGACUGACGGAGAAGCCGUACAUCUGGAAGGCAAAUCCUGAGGACGAUCAGGACUCUACCAUCAAGGAUUCCUCACACACCUGAGCUGAACCUCACCUGAUCCUGUUUGGUCGGGGGCAGACGCACUGAGCUGAACCCCACCUGAUCCGGACAUCGGGCUGGUCCCGUCUCCUCAGUUCAUCUGAGCCUCUUCCUCCAGAAGACAUGCUGAGCUCAGCGGUCUGAGGCUGAUGUAUCAAUGACCUCAAGUGGGAGUGAUCUUCUUGACCCCACAUGUAGCCGUGUGCUUCCACAUACCUUUCCCUCACGUCUGUCACUAACCUCAUUACUUCACUACUCUCUACUCCUUCUCCUUCUUCUUCCUUCUCCGUUGUUCGAACCUUUACUCUGAAGGAGUGUCUCCUUGAACCUUUACACUGAAGGAGCGUCUUCCUGUCCUCAGAGGGUUCAGCGUUAGGGUUGAGAGUCAGGGUUUAGAGUCAGGGACAGAGCUGGUCAGGGAGGGCUGGUUUUACAUAAACCUUUUCACUUGCUUUCUGAAUGGUGGUGACAUUUUGAAAAGAUUAAUUUGGAAAAAUGUUUUCCUCUUUUUUUGCUUUACAAAAAUAUGUAUUAAACUUCUGUGUUUGUAACCAGACCAGGUAUCCAUGGCUGAAGGAGCUGAUGGUGGAGCCGUGCUGAAAGAGCGGAUGGAGGAGCCGGGCUGACGGCCCUGCCUGGUGGAGGAGCCGUGCUGACGGCCCUGCCUGGUGGAGGAGCCGUGCUGACGGCCCUGCCUGGUGGAGGAGCCGUGCUGACGGCCCUGCCUGGUGGAGGAGCCGUGCUGACGGCCCUGCCUGGUGGAGGAGCCGUGCUGACGGCCCUGCCUGGUGGAGGAGCCGUGCUGACGGCCCUGCCUGGUGGAGGAUGUCUGUCGUGGGGUAGAUGGAGCCUGACUCUGUGACAUCACACUCACUGCCACUUCUCGUAGAAUACUGCUACCACAAACCACCGGCGUUUGUAACAAUAUACCAGACUACAUCCGUUUUACCACACAUUGAAGCAAGACUUCUGCUGUUUGUUCCAGACCAGGACUCUGUCUGAGGAGAGCAGAUGGAGGAGCUGAGAUGCUGGAGGACAACUAGGAAUCGACCAACAAGGAUUCUUCGUAAGUUUGUAUUUACUUGCAUGGUUGACCUAAAGGGCAAAAUAGAGCUGUUACUUUGACAUGCGUUAACCAACUACCGCUGUGUUUUCUUACUAGAACGUGUUUCUGGAGCGGAGGCCAGCUGGUAGGGGAGCCGUGAAUCUGGAGGAUGACAUCACUCUACCAACAAGGAUUGUAAGUUUGUAUUAACCAAACAAACUGGAAAUAAAGGGCUUAAAAAUAAUACAAACUACAUGUUUGUUACCAGACUUUAGGGCCAGACUCGCGCUGUUUGUUCCAGACCAGGACUCUGACUGAGGAGAGCUGAUGGAGGAGCCAAGACUCUGGAGGACGACAUCACUCUACCAACCAGGAUCCUCGUAAGUUUGCCUAAAAAAAAAGAGUGGACUUGUUGUAACGCAGGAUUAGUUUGUCCAGUAAAAGUUACGGCAUACUAUCGUGUUUGUUUACCAGACAAACUACAGCUGCUACUUUGUUACGUGCCAUUAGAGCCCAACUACUCCUGUGUUUGUGACCUUACAUUAGAGACAAACUACUACUGUGUUUGUUACCUGAUAUUGGAGACAAACUACUCCUGUGUUUGUUACCUUGCAUUAGAGACAAACUGCUGCGGUGUUUGUUACCUUACAUUAGAGACAAACUACUACUGUGUUUGUUACCUGAUAUUGGAGACAAACUACUACUUCGUUUGUUACCUUACAUUAGAGACGAAUUACGUUUGUAACCAGACCAGGAAUCUGGAGGACUGAUGGAGAAGCCGUACAUCUGGAAGGCAAAUCCUGAGGACCAGCAGGACUCUACCAUCAAGGAUUCCUCAUAAGUUUGCAUUAUCUGGACAAAGUGGCCUAGACACACCUGAGCUGAACCUCACCUGAUCCUGUUUGGUCGGGGGUAGACACACCUGAGCUAAACCCACCCUGAUCCUGACAUCCUGCUGGUCCCGUCUCCUCAGUUCUCCUGAGCCUCGUCCUCCAGAAGACCUGCUGAGCUCAGCAGUCUGAGGCUGAUGGAUCAAUGACCUCCAGUGGGAGGGAUCUUCUUGACCCCACUUGUAACCGUGUGCUUCCGCACGCCUUUCCCUCACAUCUGUCACUAACCUCACUACUUCACUACUCUACUGCUUCCUCUUUUCUUCCUUCUCUGUGGUUUAAACCUUUUACACUGAAGGCGCGUCUUCCUGCCCUCAGAGGGUUCAGCGUUAGGGUUGAGAGUCAGGGUUUAGAGUCAGGGACAGAGCUGGUCAGGGAGGACUGCUUUUACACAAACCUCUUGACUUGCUUUCGGAAUUGUGGUGACAUUUUGAAAAGAUUCAUUUGGUAAAAUCUUUUCCUCUGCUUCCCUUUACAAAAUUGUAUCAAACUUCUGUCAAGUGUUUUUGUUUAAAUAUUAAAAUCCCACAUUGACUUCUACAUGUUUGGUGCGGUUCAUUUAUUUGUCCUUUUAACUUGGUUAAUGUCAAGCUAAACUCCUGCAAUACAUUAAUA
ensembl:lncRNA